rnacentral:rRNA from 1 species
AGUGAACGCUGGCGGUAGGCCUAACACAUGCAAGUCGAACGGCAGCACAGUAAGAGCUUGCUCUUACGGGUGGCGAGUGGCGGACGGGUGAGGAAUACAUCGGAAUCUACUUUUUCGUGGGGGAUAACGUAGGGAAACUUACGCUAAUACCGCAUACGACCUACGGGUGAAAGCAGGGGAUCUUCGGACCUUGUGCGAUGGAAUGAGCCGAUGUCGGAUUAGCUAGUUGGCGGGGUAAAGGCCCACCAAGGCGACGAUCCGUAGCUGGUCUGAGAGGAUGAUCAGCCACACUGGAACUGAGACACGGUCCAGACUCCUACGGGGGGAAGCAGUGGGGAAUAUUGGACGAUGGGCGAAAGCCUGAUCCAGCCAUACCGCGUGGGUGAAGAAGGACUUCGGGUUGUAAAGCCCUUCUGUUGGGAAAGAAAAGCAGCAGGUUAAUACCCCGCUGUUCUGACGGUACCCAAAGAAUAAGCACCGGCUAACUUCGUG